AUAGGAAUAAGAAGCUCUGUGGGUGUGGCUGCUGUGUCAUAUGUCAGUCAGUAGGUGGCAGAGAGGAGAGAGGCUCCUCUGUGUCUGUGCUCAGUGUUCUGACCUAUGAACAUUUGAAUGAUUAUCAGCUUAACAUC